rnacentral:rRNA from 1 species
GAUGAACGCUGGCGGCGUGCCUAAUACAUGCAAGUCGAGCGAACAGACGAGGAGCUUGCUCCUCUGACGUUAGCGGCGGACGGGUGAGUAACACGUGGAUAACCUACCUAUAAGACUGGGAUAACUUCGGGAAACCGGAGCUAAUACCGGAUAAUAUAUUGAACCGCAUGGUUCAAUAGUGAAAGACGGUUUUGCUGUCACUUAUAGAUGGAUCCGCGCCGCAUUAGCUAGUUGGUAAGGUAACGGCUUACCAAGGCAACGAUGCGUAGCCGACCUGAGAGGGUGAUCGGCCACACUGGAACUGAGACACGGUCCAGACUCCUACGGGAGGCAGCAGUAGGGAAUCUUCCGCAAUGGGCGAAAGCUUGACGGAGCAACGCCGCGUGAGUGAUGAAGAUCUUCGGAUCGUAAAACUCUGUUAUUAGGGAAGAACAAAUGUGUAAGUAACUAUGCACGUCUUGACGGUACCUAAUCAGAAAGCCACGGCUAACUCCGUG